ACAGGACUAGCUCAGUCGGUAGAGCACCGGUCUCCAAAACCGGGUGUCGGGAGUUCGAGCCUCUCGUCCUGUGCCA
rnacentral:tRNA from 8 species